rnacentral:tRNA from 3 species
AGAGAUGGCUGAGUGGUUGAAAGCACCGGUCUUGAAAACCGGCAAGGGUUAAUAGCCCUUCUAGGGUUCAAAUCCCUAUCUCUCCGCCA